rnacentral:snRNA from 1 species
GGGUGUGAGGGCCAUCUGGACACCUGAGGUUUCACUGAUUCCCAGUGUUGAUUCGACUGAUCUGGCUUGCUGGACUGGUGACCCCUUCCUCCGUCUCCACUCCAUGUGCAUCCUUCCCGAAGCUGUGCAUUCAAGGAAGACCUUGCCACAAUUCUGCGGUCAAAGAUAAACAAGUACAGUAAACCCCAACUUAAUAGUGAAUUUAUUACACAAGGUUUUGACCAAGUUUGGUCGAAAUAAAUAAACAAUCAAAAGAAAUGCCAAAAACUAAACAUUU